AUAUUUUCUCUCAUUAACUAAAAAUUCUCUCUUUAGGUUAUAUAAGGUCAACUACCCAAACACUUUGACAACUUAUAAGCUACUAAGAAACUACAUCUUAUAAGCUCCAAGAACUUAUAAGCUCUUUCAAAUAAGCUUGACCAAACACCCUUUAAAGCACUCAGGUGGAUAACUACUCUGAUAUACUCAAACUGCUUCAGACCAAGAAUUUCAACAAAAAUCACACAGACUACUAGGUCCCUUAUCAUGAUCAUCGUUCUAGAAGGUUCGCUGCAACUAAAAAACAACUAUAACUACAUCUAUCUAGGGGUGUGCAGCGGGUCGGACCCGGACCGACCUGCCGGGUCUGUUGGACCGAAAAUUUUGAGAGGACGGACCGACCCGGACCGAAAA
rnacentral:lncRNA from 1 species